AAAAAAUUUAAUUUAUAUUUACAAAUUUAUUUUAUAAAUGAUAUUAUUAAUAAAAUUUAUUAAAGGUAAUUUAUUAAAAUUUAAAUAAUGAAUAAAUGAUUUAAUUAAUAUUUAUAAUAAUUAAAAUUAAAAUUUUAAUGAAUAGCAAUUUAUAAAAAUAAUAAUAAAAUUAGUGCCAGCAAUUGCGGUUAAACUAAUAUUAUAAAUAAAUUUUGUUAUAAUUAAUAAUUUAAUAGUAAAUUUAAAAAAAAAUUAAUAUAAAACUUAUUUUAUAUGGUGAAAUAUUUAAAAUAAUAUUAUAAUUAAAUAUAGGUAAAAAUGAAUUUAUAAAAUUAUAUAAAAAAUUAGGAUUAGAUACCCUAUUAUUAUAAAUAAGAUUAGUUAAUAAGAAAUUAAAUGUUAAUCAUUAAAUUUAAAAAAUUUGGCGGUAUUUUAAAUAGUUAGAGGAAUUUGUUAAUUAAAUGAUAGUCCACGAUUGGAGUGUCCUAGUACUAUUUUUAUGUAUUGUUGUAUGAAAAUUAUUUUAUGAGAAUUUAAUGAUUGAAAUAUUAGAGUUUAAUAUGAAUUCAAAUCAAAAUGUAGAAUUAUUAGGUUAGUAAUGAGUUACAGUUUAAUUUAGUAUUUGGAUUUAUUAUUUUAAUUAUAGUAAUGAAAGAGGAUUUAAAAGUAAAUUUUGAAUAAAUUUUAAAGUUGAAAGAUAAAUUGAAAUAUGUACAAAUUGCCCGUCAUUUCCAUAAAUAAAUAAUUGGAAAAAGUCGUAACAAAGUAAAUGUACAGGAAUGUGUAUUUAGAUAGAG
rnacentral:ncRNA from 1 species